CAAAGGUCCCAGGCAGGUACGUGCAUGACCUAGGCUUUCCCACUCUGCAACCUGCCGUUCCUCUUUUUCGGUUGCUGCCGUUUGAGGAACGCAGGCUUGCGUGCUCACUGGUCUAACUCAUCUUCCUGGAGGUUCUUUUGCAUGGCAUUGCUUUUCGACAUGUGCUCAGGUCAGCCCCACUGUGACAAGGUGACACUGGCUUUGGGAAGGGAGCCGAAAGACUCCUUUCUGAAAGCGUGAGAGCUGGUGUUGUGGCUCUGAAAGUUCGGGAGAAUGUUCCAUGCAGUCACCUGGCUUUGGCUUGGUCUUGGCUCACAAGCGCUUGAGGAACACAGGAUUGUCGACAAGGACCGAGUUAACCCCCUUCCAAAGGGAUUGAAUGGUUUACCAAGAAGCCAAAGUCAAAUCAAUCAAGCCAGGAAAGAAGUUCUAGGUGAAAGAGCUGCACUCCUCAGAGACGACCAAUUUUUUUCGAUUUUCGACUUCCCAGUGAUUUGAAUACUUUAUCCAUGCUAAUUCAAUAAACAAUAAUACAGUCAU
rnacentral:lncRNA from 1 species